rnacentral:ncRNA from 1 species
GAGGCGAAAUCCCGAAAAGCCUAAAAAGAGUAGGGA